UUGAAGUAAUCAGUAUCCAAGGUCCCCUCUAGGUCUGACAGUCUAUCUUCCUAUGCUACUGUAAACCUUGGAACAUAGUCUAUCGGACCUGGAGGUGUCCUUUGGCCAUCAGCUCUCAUCAG
rnacentral:precursor_RNA from 15 species